rnacentral:misc_RNA from 1 species
UCGCGUUUGCGCACAGAUACGUCGUCUGCUCCGGUUCCAGAAAUACUAUAUACACCCCACCUUCCCUGAGCAUUCAUUGGAAAGUACGACACGUACAGUAAUUCUAUGAACCUGACAUUAUAUGAAUCGUCAUAAGAAAGAAGUGAAGUGAAGGAAUAAGUGCAAGAGAACGUUCGCCGUUGCUUUUAGAAGGUGUCGGUGGUGGCGGGUGAGAGGCAAGUGAGAGCAGAGUGAGAGCGGCAGGAUGAUGGAGGAGGGGGUGUACGGCGGUGGCAAAGCGGGGGCGCCUUUUGACCCGCUCACCUUUGUCCAGCGGCCUCAAGUGAUCCUCAGGGCAGUGUCAUGGCUCUUUUCGGUCAUCAUCUUUGGCUGCAUCUCAUCACAAGGCUGGACUUUGAACAAAGAAGGAAAAGAAGAGUGUCUCUACAAUGGAGAUAGUAAUGCCUGCAAUUAUGGGGUUGGAAUCUCUGUUAUUGCAUUCUUGGCCUCCAUUGGCUUUAUUGCCGGGGAGUAUUUCUUUGAACAGAUGUCCUCAGUCAAGACACGGAAACGCUAUGUUAUGGCAGACAUGGGUUUUUCAGCAUUUUGGUCUUUCCUGUACUUUGUGGGAUUCUGUUACUUGACCAAUCAGUGGAGCAAGUCUCCUGAAAGACCAUUUGGAACAAGCAACAUGCAGGCAGCCAUCACAUUUAGCUUCUUUGCAAUCUUUCCAUGGGCUGGUGCUGCUUACCUUGCUUUUCUGAGGUACAAACAAGGAUCAGAUCAAGCUUUUGCCCCAAGCUAUGAGGCUGAACCAAACACCACUGGGGGUUACAACAGUUACCCUGAUGCCACAGAUCCAGAUGGAGGCUACUCUCAGCCCCCAUUUAGUGGACAGCCUUCCCAGCCUCAGUCAGGUACUGGAACUGCUACUGUGGAUUUUGGCUACCAGUCACAGUCUCAGGCAUGAAGUUCUUGAAGACAAAUCUAAGGGUUCUUCUGAAGAAUAUCACCAUUCUUCAAAUGUUUUGUAAAAAUGAUCAGUUGUAUUGGAAAAAUGCAAGUGUGUGGAGUUGGUCAGUGUUUCUUUAGGUAUGCAGCAGCAGCUCCCUUAUUAAGCCACAUGUGUUUUUGGAGGCUCAGCUAGUCAUGGCCACUAGUCGGCACUGCUCAGCUGGAUAGCACCAAAGCUCCUGCCGCUGCUAACCACCAAGUAUUACCUGCAUCCACCUGGUUUUCAGGAGGGUUGGGCCAUCCUUGGAAUCACUAAUCAGGGGAAAGUUAUCCCUUGCAGUGUUGAAUGAAACAGACUUUAGGAUUAAUAAUGCCCUAGAUAGGUGAAGUUCCUGGUUAGCAAGAGCAGGGCAAGGGCUCCUAUUGCUGAUUGUAGAAAAUACCUCAUGAAAUGAUUUUCAUUUCUUCUGAGGUCAGAAUGUGUAUUGUAUUACCUCAAAGGAUGUUUCAUAAAUUCUCAACUUCUUGAUCACUAUACUAAGCAACUGUGGAAGAAUAAUUCAUAGAAGUGAGACAGGAGUCCUUGCAGAAUGAGUCAAGUAAUGUUUAUUGUGGAAAUAAAACUUGGGUAAAGUGCACAUACUUUACAUCAACCAACCAUGUUAUGUACAGUUGUGGUAGUAUGUGUAGAACAGUGUUAUUUCCCUCAUAGAUAUCUUCAUAGAAUUACUCUACAAUUACACACUUCACCUGUGUUAGGUAUAUCUCACUUAACCAGCUCAUUUUGUAGCAAAUAUUUUGUUUGUUAUAGUAUGACAUAAUCAUCGCUCUAUAGAAGUAUGCUUUUUUUGCUGACUUUGACAGUUUUUAAUAUUGUAUUUCAUAGUAUAUAUAUAUAUAUACUAUACUAUUUUAGCAAUAUGGAAAAUUAAGAACACAGUAAUAAAACCUAUUUUUUAGUUAAUUAUUUUUGUAUUUCUUUAAGUUAAGAUGAAAAAUCUUGCAUCCUUGAGCUCUAAGUGAAGUACUGUACCCAAACAAAUGAAUCUCCAAUUAAAAAUUAAGCCCCCACAUUCAUGUGUUCAGGUGGAUAGCUCUAGUUAUAAUAGUAAGAUACAAAUGUUCGUAUCCUUCAACAAUAAGCCUAUUUUCUUUACUAAUGUGCCAAUAAUAUGCAAUAAUUAAUCGAUACUGAACAAUUAUAUGUGAAACACUAAAAAAAUUAAACUAAGCAGGAGUUCAGCCUGUACCUUAUUGUAUUAAAUGUUAAAAGCAUGAUGUGCUGUUGCAGAAAUGCAGAAAAAAGAAAUUUGUUAGCAUGCAAUUAGAGCUGCUAGCACUGUAGACUAGUGGGUUAAAAAUCAUUUACUCUGUGUAUAACACUUAAAUUGACAAUUCAAGAUAUGGAAUACCUAUUUUUAUGUGCAUAUGUUUCAACACUGUUAUUAAGUGAUUCAGGAAAUUAGCUUUUCCUAGCAAGCAUGCCCUGCAUUGGUAUAUUACUGGAAGUAUGAUGUGAAGUUUUGUCUUGUGCAUCUUAGUCGCAAAUAUUUAAAGAACAAAAUAUACUUGCUUAAUUUUUUUUAUUUGACAUUAAAUCUGCUAUCCCAGUUCCUUUUCAAUAAAGCAAUUAGGAAUUUUGGCAUAGCAACAAUAGUAAUAGAGCAACUGCACAGAUACAGUUAUGAGAUAUAAUCAGACUGGCUGUGGGUAAUACUUUAGCAGGUGAAACUUGUAAAAAGACAGGUGAAAGGUAUUGAAGAUCCAUCACUACCAAACUUUGACAUCGAGUGAGAUAACUAGUCUUCAAUGAAAGAAAUCAAACAAGUAACAGCCAAGGAAGAAGUCACUAACAACGAAGCUAAUUCUCUUUGAAGAAACAAGGUACUUAAAUUGUGGAUUGUAUUUUUAAGUGCUAAACAAAAAGCUUGAUUUGUCUACACAAGUUUUUCGUCUUCAAGUGUGGCACAGGAUUCUCACACCUCAAUCCUGGAGGUUCUUUGGUAUGCAUUGAUUAGAAAACUGAAUAAUAACACAAUGUACAUUUAAUAUAUUUCUUGUAAAUAAUGAAAAUGCUAAUUAUUAUUGUUAAUGUACUUCCCAUAUGACAAAAAACUAUAUAUUUUAGAUGCAGGUUAUUUUUUAUUAUACUGAGAAUUAUUUUUACUAUUCUUGAAGUAGACAUAUCAUGUGUAUUGUACUAUAAAUGAUGUUCUGAAGCUCCUGAUAAGAUUGCCUAGCUGGUAGUGCAAUCAUGAAUUGUAUGCCUUCCUAAAUCCACAGUGACAGGUUCUGAUGUGACACCAAAGGGAAGAACAAUUCCUAUGAAGUAUGUACGAAUAGUUCACUGCCUACACCAGUACUAACACGUUUCUCUGGGAGAAAGAAAAUUAUUGUACUUUUAUUUGGUACAAUUUCAUGCAUUCAUUUUCUGUUGGCAAGAAUGAUUUUCUGUAAAUGUUGUAACUAUGUGAGAAAGGGCACAUUAGCCUGGUUCAUGUUAUGUAAUCAUAUCUAGUUAUUGGUGUAUAAAUGUAUGUAAGAUUACUCAAUUAUCGGAGGUCAUGAAUGUAGAGGAAAUUAAAGACUAAAGGUAUUUCUCAUUAUGCAGGUUUGAAUGAUUAGGUGAGGAAUUCAUUGAUAGGUGAUACAAUUGAUUAAUUUUAACUUCAACAAACGACUGAAACAGCUUUGCUGUUAAGAUUUUUUUUUUUUUAAGUUUUAGGGGGUGUCAAUCUACAUCAAUGAUCUCUGAUGUUAAGUGUAUAGUGAAAAUUCAGUGAUGUAGAUAUUAUUGCCAGGCUAGGUGAGGAUAUCUGGACAUGUUAAUGGAUCACCAUUCAAGGAAUAUGAAAAAUUGGAAUUUGAUGCUUCAUGCAAAAAUUUCUAUAUAUGAGGACCUAGUACUUGCAUGUGUAUAUACUAUACAUAUAUAUAUAAAUAUAAAUAUGAAUGUAUGUCUAGGGCACUUCCUGUUUCAUCAACUUCAACCAGCUAUACUUCAUGUGAGUAAUGAAAUAGUUCAUGAAGGGUCAGUAAUUUGUAAAUAGGGGCAUUCCUUGACUGAUUAUUCCCAUAAUUGUUGCUGUUGAGUACCAUACAUUCCAAUUAAUCAUGAAUUCAAUUUGGUUGAUGCCUCACAGUGUGUUGUCCAAUUCUUAAUUUUGUCUUGUAUACAAAAUGCAGUUCCAAUUAUAAGUUAUGAAUUAUGGAGUAAUGAUGAAAACAAUAUACUCAGUUUACAAUCAAAAUUAUGGUGAGGGUUUCUCACAUUUAGUUUACAUAUGGUUGUGAUCAUGAGGAUACUUUGUCUAUGAAUAGUUUGCUCUUUGUUUGUCUUUAAGAUAACAAAAAAUCUUGUAAUCAGAAAGCUUUUACUGAGAUUUUUUCUUUAUUAGAUUAGGAGAGAAGAAUUUUGUUAUUGUGUUUGAUUUUGAACUUUUGUUCAUAUCUUGCCUUUGAUCUAUAAUGGAAUGUAUUGUAAUGCACAUAAUAUAAGAAAAGUGCUUA